CGAGCUGGUACCGAGGUUUAAGUACAUUCCUGCUCUGUUAUUCACCGUCUGGCUCCAAUUUAGAGAACUGUUUGGGAAUCAGAGGAACAUGGAGCAAAGGAAGAAGAAAGAAGGAGUAAAGCCACACUGUCAGGUAGAAUUAUGCUCUAUAUAAAUGUGAUUUUU
rnacentral:lncRNA from 1 species